GGUGGGGUGGCAGAGCGGUUUAAUGCACCGGUCUUGAAAACCGGAGUACUCGCAAGGGUACCGGAGGUUCAAAUCCUCCCCCCACCGCCA
rnacentral:tRNA from 1 species